CUGCUUUUGUUUGAUUUUAAUCUCAGGAUUAAUUUUGGAAGGAUCUUCCAGAAUUGUUUUGACGGAUAGCACCUCAAGAGGAUUUCAGUGGAUGAGAAGAUUUUCCCAUCCAAUCCCACUCACUCCCUGCAAUCUCCCUUUUCUCCAACAAACUGCAGGAUCUUUCCAUCAAUCACUGCAGCCUUGCUGAGCACCAGGAAGCGGACACUUAACAUGAGGGGAAACAUCACAGAGACAGAUGGGACAAUUUCUUCUCUCUCACCUUGCACAUCCUUGGACAACCGUGGGAAAUGCAGGGAGUUACUGAUGAUUCCUGUUCACUUUCCCUCUGGGUUGCUCACUUCAAUACUUUUAAGCUUUUGACCCACAGCUCCCUUUUUCACUUCACUUGAAAUCAUUUAUUUUUCCUUCACAUUUGCUUUUUUUCCCCUUCUUGCUGACAUGAGCACAUUCUGUUUUGUUAGGAAAUAACCUCAGCACAUUAAGAGAGCAGAGAAAAAGCAGUUGGAACAACGGUCAGUAGUAGAUUCCUAGAGCAAAAGAACCAUGGAAAGAAGGCAGUGCUGUGGCUAUCCUUUUUCUUAUACUCUUCCUGUUUUCAGCAAUCUGCAAUUCUGUGUGGGACUUGAAGUGCUCCCCACUAUAAAAUGUCAUCAUUCAAUCGAAAAUCAGUAAGAGUUUAUGCUUGCACAUAUACUAUGCCCAACACCAGUAGCUAUUUUUUCUUUCUUUAGAGGAAGAACAUCUGUAUGAAACAAAGUACAUUUAUAUACUCAUCACUACACCUAACAGACACAAAUUAUACUAAAGGCUCACAGAUUUCAAAGUGCAAUUAGGUAAUCCUAUGUGUAUGUGUUGGAUAACUGGAUGUUUAACUGGUAUGUGUUGGAUAACUGGAAUCAAGCUAUAAACUCAUACACUAAAAUUGCCAUGUACAGUUCCAAGCUGCAGAAGCCCUGCUGUGCAAAAUACCAAAGUGAGGAAAAAGACACAGUCUACUAUCAUAUCUGCACAAGAUCAUCACUAGGUUGAGGAAUAAAACCAACACUCUUCUACAGUCAGAACACGUAAAUCUGCCCGUUUAAUUUCCUUUUUCUUUUUUUCUUUUUAGUUACCCACAUUUGGCAGUCUUAAGAAGAAAGAGGCAAUGUUUUUCAAUAGUCAAAUGUUGGAGUGAAAGAAUAAAAAAGUCUAGUAUAUAUCAAACCUAUUUUUAAAAACUCCAGUGAAAAGCCUCCAUAGCCAUCAUCAGUACAUUGCUCCUCUCACUGCUUUGUCUUUACAACACAUUCCUGAAUCUGCCUUACUAUAAAUUAAACUAGUAUUUUUUUUUUUCCCCCUGCUCCACAAGCACAGCAGAAAGAACUUACUGUUCUUUUUAGCAUAGUAUCUUCUCUACUGGAAGAUAUCACAUCUUCCUCUUUCAUGUUCCCAUCUGUAAAAAUGUUUAAAUAUGCUCUCCUUUUUCAAAAUGCCACUGUUACUAAAACUCUUGUCCAGCUACUCUUCCUUGAAUUUGCCUACAUCUAUACUUCCUUAAAGUUUAGUCAUGUGAGGCCCAAUCAGCACUAAGUAGAGCAGAAUAAUUUCCAUCCAUGUGUUAUACGUGACAUUUCUAAAUUUCUCUCCAGCUCUUACAGAAUUUGCACCAUCCCCUACAGUGCCAUCUAUGCAUUUCAUAAAUGGACCAUUUACUUUGUCACACAGCACAACUGGAAAUACGGGUUAGAACCAGGUCUAAGACUCUCUGCAGAACUGCAUGAAAACCAACACUUUAUUUAAUUAAGAACAAUCACUACUUCUACUGAAAUGAAGUUUUCAAACUGUUUUAUAGUUCAUGAGAUAUGGACUACACACUGCUUGUAUGUAUAUCACAAGACAAUGUCAAAAUCCUUGCUGAAGUCAAUACAAAGCACAACUACAGCUUCUUCCUCAUCAACCAGGCUAGUUCUCAUGUCAAAAGAGGAAGUUAAAUUGCUAUGACAUAAUUCAUUCUUAGAAAACCAUACAGCACACAUUUACUAUCACUUAACUUUCCUCUCUAAGUUUACAUAUUGAUUGUUUAAUGUUCUCUACUGUCUUGGUAUUUAAAUUAGGAAUUCUGACUUAACUCGAGUUCUCAUCUUAUAUAAAGAUGUCACCAUCAGAAUUUUAGCUUAUAGUUAGCAAGAAGAAUAUGAACUGUCACAAGCGAUAUCUACAAACACAGGAAAUCUCUGACAUCACACUCUUCAUCUAAAGUCAGCUCAGUGCAGCAGCAGCAGGUAUCCGACACAAUUCAUUGUAGUACAAGAAUACAACUAAUCAGAAGAACAAGAAAUUUAGGAAUUAAUCUGUGUUUCAUCUGAAUUAAAACUUUGAGAUCGAUUUGUGCUUGUCAAAAAUACUUGUUUACAUUUUAACUGCUAUUCUACAAACAUUUAAGUUAGGAACGGGACAGAGGGGAAAAGCUCUGCCCUACAUUUCCACAAAGACCACACCGCUCACACCUAUCAGGUGGCUGACGUGCAGAAGAAGAUGUAUAUGCUUCUAUUGUUCUCAGAGACUAAAAGGCAGAAAGGGAAAGGUAUUGGCCAUAACUCCUGCUCCCCCUAGUUAGCAGAGAAGGGAAAGGCUUGUAAAAAUCAACAACAGGGAUCAUACCAGACAAAUGAGCCUGAACUCUUCAGAGUUUCUUCUAGAUAAAGUGUUUACUCUUCAUCACCAUUAAAAUAAGUAGUCCUUCAAAUUCUCAAGUUUGUCCAAUUUGUACCAUAGUCACUUCCACAGAAACAUCAUAUUUUUUGGCAUAUUGGUAUCAAAUUCAUGUGUUGUAAAAUCAAUUGUGCUUAUUCUUUGUGUAAUAGAAUGCAGAGCAAAUAACCUGAGAUCUUUCUAGGGAGAACUAUAUAAAUAUGUGCUUUACUUUUCUUCUUUGAUACAUUUUAAGAAAACAUACUAAUUUCAACAGCUAGCAGAUUCAAAACUGUCAAAUCAGAAGGUAUCUCAUUUGUGAGGCACAUUUUGAAGACAUUGGGCUUCUCUGACAAAUAAAAAAGUCCAUGGGGACUAUUUGCGUUUUACUUCUUUCUUCUGACUUUCAGAUCUGACUUUCAGAUUCCAUAAGGAAUUCAUGAAUGAAUUAGGUAGCAACUCUCCAUGACUACACUGUGUUUUAAAUAUACCACAUAACUGCAUCCAUUUUGCGUGUUAAAUUUCCUUAAGUAAUAAUUGCAUUAA
ensembl:lncRNA